UACGGGAGGCAGCAGUGGGGAAUAUUGCACAAUGGGCGCAAGCCUGAUGCAGCCAUGCCGCGUGUAUGAAGAAGGCCUUCGGGUUGUAAAGUACUUUCAGUCGUGAGGAAGGUGUUAAGGUUAAUAACCUUAGCAAUUGACGUUAGCGACAGAAGAAGCACCGGCUAACUCCGUGCCAGCAGCCGCGGUAAUACGGAGGGUGCGAGCGUUAAUCGGAAUUACUGGGCGUAAAGGGCACGCAGGCGGUUAAUUAAGUUGGAUGUGAAAUCCCCGGGCUUAACCUGGGAAUGGCAUUCAAGACUGGUUAGCUAGAGUCUUGUAGAGGGGGUAGAAUUCCGAUGUGUAGCGGUGAAAUGCGUAGAGAUGUGGAGGAAUACCGGUGGCGAAGGCGGCCCCUGGACAAAGACUGACGCUCAUGUGCGAAAGCGUGGGGAGCAAACAGGGAUUAGAUA
rnacentral:rRNA from 1 species